rnacentral:tRNA from 1 species
GAGUGUAUAGCUCAGUGGUAGAGCACGUGCUUAGCAUGCACGAGGUCCUGGGCUCAAUCCCUAGUACCUCCA